UACGGAGGGUGCGAGCGUUGUCCGGAAUCACUGGGCGUAAAGGGCGCGUAGGCGGGCUGACAAGUCUGGGGUGAAAUACCACGGCUCAACCGUGGAACUGCCUCAGAUACUGUCGGCCUCGAGGGAGGUAGGGGCGUGCGGAACUGUAGGUGGAGCGGUGAAAUGCGUUGAUAUCUACAGGAACUCCGGUGGCGAAAGCGGCGCGCUGGACCUCUUCUGACGCUGAGGCGCGAAAGCUAGGGGAGCAAACGGG
rnacentral:rRNA from 1 species